GACGAACGCUGGCGGCGUGCUUAACACAUGCAAGUCGAACGGUAAGGCCCUUCGGGGUACACGAGUGGCGAACGGGUGAGUAACACGUGGGUGAUCUGCCCUGCACUUCGGGAUAAGCCUGGGAAACUGGGUCUAAUACCGGAUAGGACCUCUGGCUUCAUGGUUGGGGGUGGAAAGCUUUUGCGGUGUGGGAUGGGCCCGCGGCCUAUCAGCUUGUCGGUGGGGUAAUGGCCUACCAAGGCGACGACGGGUAGCCGGCCUGAGAGGGUGACCGGUCACACUGGGACUGAGAUACGGCCCAGACUCCUACGGGAGGCAGCAGUGGGGAAUAUUGCACAAUGGGCGCAAGCCUGAUGCAGCGACGCCGCGUGAGGGAUGACGGCCUUCGGGUUGUAAACCUCUUUCAGCUAUGACGAAGCGCAAGUGACGGUAGUAGCAGAAGAAGGACCGGCCAACUACGUGCCAGCAGCCGCCGCGG
rnacentral:rRNA from 1 species